rnacentral:rRNA from 1 species
AUUGAACGCUGGCGGCAGGCCUAACACAUGCAAGUCGAACGGUAACAGGGAUCAGCUUGCUGAUUCGCUGACGAGUGGCGGACGGGUGAGUCAUGUCUGGGAAACUGCCUGAUGGAGGGGGAUAACUACUGGAAACGGUAGCUAAUACCGCAUAACGUCGCAAGACCAAAGAGGGGGACCUUCGGGCCUCUUGCCAUCGGAUGUGCCCAGAUGGGAUUAGCUAGUAGGUGGGGUAACGGCUCACCUAGGCGACGAUCCCUAGCUGGUCUGAGAGGAUGACCAGCCACACUGGAACUGAGACACGGUCCAGACUCCUACGGGAGGCAGCAGUGGGGAAUAUUGCACAAUGGGCGCAAGCCUGAUGCAGCCAUGCCGCGUGUAUGAAGAAGGCCUUCGGGUUGUAAAGUACUUUCAGCAGGGAGGAAGGGAGUAAAGUUAAUACCUUUGCUCAUUGACGUUACCCGCAGAAGAAGCACCGGCUAACUCCGUG